rnacentral:rRNA from 1 species
UACAGAGACUGCAAGCGUUACUCGGAUUCACUGGGCGUAAAGGGAGCGCAGGCGGAUCGGUGUGUCAGAUGUGAAACCCCGGAGCUCAACUCCGGGACUGCGUCUGAAACUGCCGGUCUAGGGACUCGGAGGGGCUAGUGGAAUUCCUGGUGGAGCAGUGAAAUGCGUAGAUAUCAGGAGGAACACCAACGGCGAAGGCAGCUAGCUGGACGAGAUCCGACGCUCAGGCUCGAAAGUAUGGGGAGCAAAAAGG